AUUGAACGCUGGCGGCAGGCCUAACACAUGCAAGUCGAACGCGUGGCGGACGGGUGAGUAAUGUCUGGGAAACUGCCUGAUGGAGGGGGAUAACUACUGGAAACGGUAGCUAAUACCCCAUACCAUCAGGUAUGCCCAGAUGGGAGUAGCUUGUGGGUGGGGUAACGGCUCACCAAGGCGACGAUCCCUCUCUGGUCUGAGAGGAUGACCAGCCACACUGGAACUGAGACACGGUCCAGACUCCUACGGGAGGCAGCAGUGGGGAAUAUUGCACAAUGGGCGCAAGCCUGAUGCAGCCAUGCCGCGUGUAUGAAGAAGGCCUUCGGGUUGUAAAGUACUUUCAGCGGGGAGGCGUUACCCGCAGAAGAAGCACCGGCUAACUCCGUGCCAGCAGCCGCGGUAAUAC
rnacentral:rRNA from 1 species